rnacentral:lncRNA from 1 species
CUUAGAGAAAGAUUAUAGUCCUAUCCUAAUAACAGACCUGGGUCACCAGUAUAGUAGGAGAUAUUUUUUUCUUUGUAGAGAGUCCACAGGGUGUUAAGUAAGCUUGGUAGCAGCGGAGUUGAGAGGGAAGAUAAAGCUAAAGGAGACCCAAGGAAGACGGAAGAAGGGGACCACACGCAGGUAGCUCUAGAGAUAACGAAAGGGCCUUUAGCUUUCUAGCUCGACCAUAGUAUGAGGAGCUAAGGACUAAAAGCGAAGGGGCGUAGCGAUUAAGUGGAAGUAAGAAGACACUCUCUCGAUAGGUU